GAUGAACGCUGGCGGCGUGCCUAAUACAUGCAAGUCGAGCGAACGGACGAGAAGCUUGCUUCUCUGAUGUUAGCGGCGGACGGGUGAGUAACACGUGGAUAACCUACCUAUAAGACUGGGAUAACUUCGGGAAACCGUAGCUAAUACCGGAUAAUAUUUUGAACCGCAUGGUUCAAAAGUGAAAGACGGUCUUGCUGUCACUUAUAGAUGGAUCCGCGCUGCAUUAGCUAGUUGGUAAGGUAACGGCUUACCAAGGCAACGAUGCAUAGCCGACCUGAGAGGGGGACCGGCCACACUGGAACUGAGACACGGCCCAGACUCCUACGGGAGGCAGCAGUAGGGAAUCUUCGGCAAUGGGCGAAAGCCUGACGGAGCAACGCCGCGUGAGUGAUGAAGGUCUUCGGAUCGUAAAACUCUGUUAUUAGGGAAGAACAUAUGUGUAAGUAACUGUGCACAUCUUGACGGUACCUAAUCAGAAAGCCACGGCUAACUACGUG
rnacentral:rRNA from 1 species